rnacentral:SRP_RNA from 1 species
GCCGGGCAUGGUGGCGCGCGCCUGUAGUCCCAGCUACUUGGGAGGCUGAGGCUGGAGGAUCGCUUGAGCCUAGGAGUUCUGGACUGCAGUGCGCUAUGCCGAUCCGGUGUCCGCACUAAGUUCGGCAUCAAUAUGGUGAUCUCCCGGGAGCGGGGGACCACCAGGUUGCCUAGGGAGAGGGUUCCUGAGUUCGAGAGUGCCAGAGUUUGAGAGGGUUCCCCAAUAGGAGAGUUACAGAGUUACAGAGUAAGAGAGAGUUCCACAGUU